UCGAGAACCUUCGGCAAUGGGGGAAACCCUGACCGAGCGACGCCGCGUGCGAGAUGAAGGCCUUCGGGUUGUAAAUCGCUGUCAGAGGGGAGGAAAUGCCAGUGGGUUAUCCCAUUGGUUUGACCUAUCCUCAGAGGAAGGACGGGCUAAGUUCGUGCCAGCAGCCGCGGUAAGACGAACCGUCCAAACGUUAUUCGGAAUCACUGGGCUUAAAGGGUGCGUAGGCGGUCUGGGAAGUUGGGUGGGAAAGCCCUCAGCUCAACUGAGGAACUGCGCCCAAAACUGCCAGACUCGAGGGAGACAUAGGUGAGCGGAACUUAGGGUGGAGCGGUGAAAUGCGUUGAGAUCCUAAGGAACACCAGUAGCGAAAGCGGCUCACUGGGUCUCUUCUGACGCUGAUGCACGAAAGCUAGGGGAGCGAAGA
rnacentral:rRNA from 1 species